rnacentral:rRNA from 1 species
CAAUAGCGUAUAUUUAAGUUGUUGCAGUUAAAAAGCUCGUAGUUGGAUUUCUGCUGAUCGCUGUCGGUCUGCCGUCAGGUGUGUACUGGCAGUGUUUGGCAUCUAUUCGAGAUUGGGUGUCCACUUGAUUGUGUGCACUCGAUGUCGGAGCUAAUACUUUGAGAAAAUUAGGGUGUUCCACGCAGGCGCGUGCCUUGAAUACUGCAGCAUGGGAUAUUGGAAGGCCGAUUGAGCUUUCUUGUUGGUUCUCGGUUUGAUCGGAAUGAUUAAUAGGGAUAGUUGGGGGCAUUCGUAUUCAACUGUCAGAGGUGAAAUUCUUGGAUUUGUUGAAGACGGACUACUGCGAAAGCAUCUGCCAUGGAUGUUCUCAUUGA